rnacentral:tRNA from 1 species
CAAAAUGUAGCUUAACUUAAAGCAUCCCGCUUACACCGAGAACAUGUCUGUUAAAUCCAGAUCAUUUUGA